rnacentral:rRNA from 1 species
GAUGAAUGCUGGCUGUGUGGAUAAGGCAUGCAAGUCGAAUGGGUUUAGACCCAUGGCGAACGAGGUAGUAACACGUAGGAUAACUUGCCCUAGAGUCGGGGAUAACCUGGAGAAAUCCAGAAUAAUACCCGAUGGACCCUUCUGUAAUUCAGGUAGGGUAAAGAUUUAUCGCUCUAGGAUAGGCCUGCGGGAUAUCAGCUAGUUGGUAGUGUAAAAGACUACCAAGGCUAUGACGUCUAGGGGAGGUGAGAGCCUGACCCCCACCGAUGGAACUGAGACACGGUCCAUACUCCUACGGGAGGCCGCAGUCGAGAAUCUUCCGCAAUGGACGAAAGUCUGACGGAGCGACACAGCGUGGUAGAUGAAGUCUUUCGAGAUGUAAAUACCUUUUAUGAGCGAAGAAGUUUAUUGACAUUAACUCAUGAAUAAGGGGCUGCUAAUCACG